rnacentral:rRNA from 1 species
UACGAAGGGUGCAAACGUUGCUCGGAAUUAUUGGGCGUAAAGCGCACGUAGGCGGCUUGGCAAGUCGGAUGUGAAAGCCCUCGGCUCAACCAAGGAAGUGCAUCCGAAACUGCUGAGCUUGAGUACUUAAGAGGAUCGCGGAAUUCCCGGUGUAGAGGUGAAAUUCGUAGAUAUUCGGAGGAACACCAGUGGCGAAGGCGGCUCACUGGUCCAUUACUGACGCUGAGGUGCGAAAGCGUGGGGAGCAAACAGG